GCCCGGAAACGGAAGUCUCGUUCUUUUUCGUCCUUUUCCCCGGUUGCUGCUUGCUGUGAGUGUCUCUAGGGUGAUACGUGGGUGAGAAAGCCUCGGAAAAUUGAGGAAAUCAAGGACUUCCUGCUCACAGCCCGACGAAAGGAUGCCAAAUGUUUGGCAGUGAAGGAACUGAAAUGAACCAGACACACUGAUUGGAACUGUAUUAUAUUAAAAUACUAAAAAUCCU
rnacentral:lncRNA from 1 species